rnacentral:rRNA from 1 species
UACGGCGAGUGAGCGGCAAAAGCUCAAAUUUGAAAUCUGGCACCUUCGGUGUCCGAGUUGUAAUUUGAAGAAGGUAACUUUGGAGUUGGCUCUUGUCUAUGUUCCUUGGAACAGGACGUCACAGAGGGUGAGAAUCCCGUGCGAUGAGAUGCCCAAUUCUAUGUAAAGUGCUUUCGAAGAGUCGAGUUGUUUGGGAAUGCAGCUCUAAGUGGGUGGUAAAUUCCAUCUAAAGCUAAAUAUUGGCGAGAGACCGAUAGCGAACAAGUACAGUGAUGGAAAGAUGAAAAGAACUUUGAAAAGAGAGUGAAAAAGUACGUGAAAUUGUUGAAAGGGAAGGGCUUGAGAUCAGACUUGGUAUUUUGCGAUCCUUUCCUUCUUGGUUGGGUUCCUCGCAGCUUACUGGGCCAGCAUCGGUUUGGAUGGUAGGAUAAUGACUAAGGAAUGUGGCUCUACUUCGGUGGAGUGUUAUAGCCUUGGUUGAUACUGCCUGUCUAGACCGAGGACUGCGUCUUUUGACUAGGAUGUUGGCAUAAUGAUCUUAAGCCACCCGUCU